rnacentral:misc_RNA from 1 species
CAAGAUCUUGCCACGUCCGAUGCAAUUAAGAUCUCCCGUGAAGUGGACCCUAAAGGAGAGAGGACAUUUGGGGUGCUCACCAAGAUCGACCUUAUGGAUAAGGGCACUGAUGCUGUCGAUAUUUUGGAAGGUAAAGCAUACCGCCUACAGUUUCCUUGGAUUGGUGUUGUCAAUCGCUCGCAAGCAGACAUCAACAAGAACGUUGACAUGAUUGCUGCUCGACGAAGAGAGCGUGAAUAUUUUGCGACUAAUCCAGAUUACAAGCAUCUUGCUCAUAGGAUGGGGUCUGAGCAUCUAGGCAAGAUGCUUUCCAAGCAUUUGGAAACAGUGAUCAAAUCCCGAAUCCCUGGCAUCCAAUCUCUCAUUAACAAAAGUAUUGCUGAAAUUGAAGCUGAACUUAGUCGUCUUGGAAAGCCUAUUGCUUCAGAUGCUGGUGGGAAACUUUAUGCCAUUUUGGAAAUCUGUCGUAAGUUUGAUCAAAUCUACAAAGAGCACCUUGAUGGAGUGCGACCUGGUGGUGAGAAGAUUUACAAUGUGUUCGAUAAUCAACUUCCGGCAGCUUUAAAAAGGCUCCAGUUUGACAAACAGCUUUCAAUGGAAAAUGUAAGAAAGUUAAUUACUGAAGCUGAUGGAUACCAGCCUCACUUGAUUGCUCCUGAGCAAGGAUACCGCCGACUUAUUGAAUCGGCCUUGGUUAGUAUUAGAGGCCCUGCUGAGGCAACUGUUGAUAUGGUUCACUCAAUAUUGAAAGAACUCAUACACAAGGCCGCUAAUGAGACUGCAGAGCUGAGGCAAUAUCCUACUCUCAGAGUUGAGGUGGGAAACGCAGCUUUUGAUUCAUUGGAGAGAAUGAGAGAUGAAAGCAAGAAGGCUACUCUUCAGCUAGUAGACAUGGAAUGUUGCUAUCUGACUGUUGAUUUCUUCCGGAAACUUCCGCAAGAUAUUGAGAAAGGCGGGAAUCCAACUCAUUCUAUUUUUGACAGAUACAAUGACUCCUAUCUCAGGCGAAUAGGAACUACUUGUUUGUCGUAUGUCAAUAUGGUGUUGUCAAGCUUGCGGAACUCCAUCCCAAAGUCUAUUGUGUAUUGCCAAGUCCGUGAGGCGAAGAGCGCUCUACUAGUUCAUUUUUUUACGGAAUUGGGAAAGAGAGAGCCUAGGCAGCUGUCGGCCUUGUUGGAUGAGGAUCCAGCUGUAAUGGAACGGAGAGCUGCUCUUGGCCAGAGGCUUGAGUUAUACAGAAG